rnacentral:rRNA from 1 species
UACGUAGGAUGCAAGCGUUGUCCGGAAUUAUUGGGCGUAAAGAGCGCGCAGGCGGUAUGACAAGUCAGAUGUGAAAGAGGCCGGCUUAACCGGCAAGGGUCAUUUGAAACUGUCAGACUAGAGUGCAGCAGAGGAUAGUGGAAUUCCCGGUGUAGUGGUGAAAUGCGUAGAUAUCGGGAGGAACACCAGUGGCGAAGGCGACUAUCUGGGCUGUAACUGACGCUGAGGCGGCGAAAGCGUGGGGAGCAAACAGG